GGAGAGCACCGCUUCGGAAAUCCUGCAGGAUCUUCCCCCUCGCGUUUCUUUUCAGAGUUUACCUGAGCUAGGAACGUUAUCAUUAGGAUUAAUAGUAUUCCAUCAGUGCUUUUCACUAGCAGUUCCGUGAAACCCUUUCUCAUGCAGAAACGGACAGAGGCUUACUAAGAAUGCCUGACAUAACACACACUCCAAAUAAACCAGCAGGACCGGUCCCACUGCGUUGAAAACAUAGCCAGCGAUUUUUGCCUUGACGGGCUGGGAGAGGAAUGGUGGAAGGUCCUAGUAACACGGAGUUUUCCAGGGCGCUAUGCUUUGGAGGGUUAGCAAGGGGACACAGAAGUGGGUGAUGGGAUGCCAAAGGCGGCAGCAGCCCUCCUAGGUCCCACUUCCUUGUGAAAUCAUGCUGCCUGUGUUUAAGGCUAUUGCUUUCAGUCCCGAGUCCCCAGCGCCAAAACCUUACACUAUUGCUAGAUUUUACGGCAGUCCCUGGUCCCUUGGGGGAGGGGUCGCUCGGGUGCAUGAUUGACUGCCUGUGCCCUGUUUGCCUUGCAUUUGAUUCCUGCAGUUACAGAGCUAAAGUAGAGAAAUAGCUUUGCUGUGGAUUGCAUUGUCGUGCCAUUUUCGUAUCAGGAUACCGAUACCGCAUAAACUGAUCACCUGAUCACCGGAUCGAUUGGUGAAACCAGCCUAUAACAAGACAACUAGAGAAGCCAGUGGGAAUAGCAAAAGCCAGCAGGCUUCGACCCUUUGCACCUCCAGGCCCCUGAGGACUGCUGAUAAGAGGAGCCAUAGCCUUGCCCAGGGAGGAGCAUACCAGUUUCUUAUCUAGUAAUAAAGCCAAACUUUGGGCAGAGUGCUGGAAACCCUAUGGAAGAAGGGGGAGAUAAAAAGACCUAGAGGGGUCAGGAGCUUCACAAGGAGAACAACAGAGCCAAAAUACUUUUGUCCAAGGUGGCCUGCAGAGACUUACUCCACCUAACUAUGCAUGGAGAGGACCUAGACGCUCUGUUCAAAGGAAGCCCAUUGGCUGCUCCGUUUCCAAGUGGGAUUCCCUAGUAAGGCGGACAGGGGCUGUCUCUGACAUGAACUCAGUGGCUGGCUCUUUGAUCACCUCUGCCUGGGGUUGCAGUCUCGCCAGGCCACAGAGGAAGAUGAUGCAGCCAGCCUUGAUGAGGCCUGAGAAGUUAAGCUUACAUUUUAAAGAAAGCAAAAUAUAUGACUAUACCUAAAAUUCACACACACACAUACACACACAGCUACCACCAAUACAGACAUGAAGAACAUUUCUCAUCACCACCAAAAGUAGUCACCUGAUACCUAUUAUGAAUAAUAAUUUAUGUCCUAUGUGUAAAUAUUUACAUUUUUCUAUUGACGAUUCUUGAAAUUAAAUUAUGAACAUUUUCCCAUAGCCCUGUUGUGCUGAGAGUGAAGCCAGUCCCUGAAAGACUGAAGAUGAUUUCCCAAGGAGGCAUAGUCCUUAGCAGUGUUAGGCAAGCAUCCCCAUGCAUUGCAGCCUUUACAAUUUUCAUAGUGGUUAAUGUAUACUUGUUUAUUUGAUAAUUCAUAGUUUUUAAAAUUCUAAAUAAAUUUAUGUAAUUGUCUACAAAAAUCCCAUUUUCUUUAAACGUUUUAUGAAUUUAGUCUGUUUUAUCUGUAAUGUGUUUUUGCUAAGAUACAUUAUUAUUUUUAAUUUGUGAAUAGUAGUUGUACAUAUCCAUGUAUUGUAGCAAUAGGAAAUGUAUGAUUAUUGGAACAGAUUGAGGUAUCUAUCACAUCUUAACACAUCAUUUCUUUUCAUAGGGAACAUUCAAAAUUAACCUGAAUAUCUGUUAUAUAUUAAUUCGUUGCCAUUUGUAGUUAUCAUACUGGCAACAGAACAGCAGAAAAUGUUCCUCCAAUGCACUUGAUGUCCCACACCUCUGACCUGUGCUCUCUCUGUCCUCUGAGCCCUCCUCCUCCUCAUUGCCAGUUCUGGGAAGGCAUACUCCAGCCUGAACUUCUUUGACACCAACUUUGGACUGCACCUCCUCGUGAAAUCUGUCCCACCCUCCCUGCCUCUUCUCUAUAUAUGCCCCUCCCCAAGUCCACUGAUAGGGGAGGUCUUCCUCUGCUUUCUUCUGAUCCUAGUCUAUCAGGUCUCAUCAGGACUGGCUGCAUUGUCUUCCUCUGUGGCCUGGUAAGGCUGCUCCGCCAUCACAGGGAAGUGAUCAAAGAGCAGGCCAAUCAGUUCAUGUCAGAGACAGUCCCUGUUCCCAUAACUAUGGAGCCCACUUGGACACUGAACUGCCAUGGUCUACGUGUGAAGAAACUAAUCAAGAAGGAGGACUCUGGCUAAAACGCUCAAUCCCCAUUCAGAAAGGCUAAGAGGAUGGACAUCAGAAGAAGAAGAAAACAGGAAACAACCUCGGGACCUGCCACAGAGGGCCUCUGAAAGGCUCUACCCUGCAGGCUAUCAAAGCAGAUGCUGAAACUUAUGGCCAACCUUUGGGCAGAAUGCAGCAAAUCUUAUGAAAGAAAUGGGAAAUAAUAAGACCUGGGCAGGACAGGAGUUCCACAAGGAGAGCAACAGAACCAAAAAAUCUGGGCAGAGCGGUCACUUCUGAGACUGAUACUCCAACCAAGAACCACUGAUGGAGAUAACCUAAAAUAUAUAUUUUAAUUUACGUUUUAAAUUAUAUUUACAUAUAUAUAUAAUAUUGUUUAAAUUGAUUUUUAUGUUUUGACUUUGUGUCAUGUGAUCUUACUAAAUUUACUACAAAUUUUCACAAAGUUAUCAUUAUUAUCCUUGUUUUCUCUGUAAAUACGUUAUCUUUGAAUGAGUUUUGCUUCCUGCUUUUAUAUACGUAACAUUUCUUUAUAUUUCAGUUUUCUAGUUGAGCUAUUUAGGAUCUAUGCUACAUUUUAAUGCAAUAGCCAAUGAUAUUAGAUUGGUCAGCUAAAACCAAAUAUUGUUAGUUAUUAGGUCAAGACAUUUCUUAUUUAUGGUCAUCAAAUUACAGAAGUUUUAUUACUAGAGAUAAGACUAUUUCAUAAGAUGCUGAAUUUGCCCAAGUGAUUUUCUGCUUCUACAUAUAUACUCACAUAUCUUUCUUCUGUCCUAUUUUGUAAUCCUGAAUUUCAAAACCAAGGCCUUGAACGUCAUGCUAGACAAAUAUUCUGCUACUGAGCCAGAGUCCUGUCCUGACCUCUCUUGUCAAGGUGAUAGCACUGAUUGAUUUUUGAAUAUUAAACUGCUUCUACAUCUCUAGAAUAAGCAUUGAUGUAUGAUGGUAUAUCAUCAUUAUUUCACUUUGCUAAACUUUGGUUUGCUAAAAUUUAUGGACUAUUUUAUCUGUACAUUACCAAAUUCUUGGUUUGUAGUUUUAUUAAGUUCAGGAUAAUACCAUCUUAAUAAUAAUUAUUUGUUCCUCCUAGUCACUAACCAUAACCCAUUAUGAUGUUCUGCGUAUCAUAUGCUGUGUAUCAUUGAUUUUUCCUUAUGUUGUUAUUGAAAUGUCCUUGUAAUAACACUGUGGGCUUAUAUAGACAUCCUUUAAGUCAUUCCAUAUUAGAUUAAAUAAUGACAUGAAUAUCAUUUCAUAUUAGUUUUCUUUAUUUCUAUGGUUGACCAUCUGAUAGUUUAAAUUGUACUCAAAUUCAUGAAAUCUUCAGUAGGAAGGGCUUAGGGAAAUCUAAGAAACAGGUUCAUUAAAUCAAAAUCAUCUUUGAGCACAUAGUAAGUUUGAAGUUAGUGCCUAUCAUAACACUCUUUGUCACAAAAGGGGGAUAAAGAGAUAGAGAAAGAGAAAAAAAGAAAGAAAAGGAAAAAACAUGCUGAACUUGAUCACUCAAAGUCUUGAGCUACAGAAGAGGGUUUAUUGCCUAUAGAUGCUAACUGCUACCUUUUCGCAGUCACAGAAUUUGUGUUGUUAACAUUCAUACUGUAUUUUUAUUGUCUCAAAGCAUGAUAAACUCAGCUCUAAAAUGCUUUUAUAAUACUUUUUCUUCUUUGCCACUAUAGCCUUCAUAUUUUCCUUUCACUAUUUGUUUCAUAAAAUACACUCUGAUCCUUGUGCAUGUAACAAAAUGUGACUUACUGAUUGCCAAUCUCAGAGUUCUCUGUCAGUCUUGAUUCUGCUCAAUUUAACAGAGGCCUUGCACACAGUCAAUCACAAUGUUCUUGUCACUUGACUUCACGGGGUAGCAGCACUUUCUCAUCUUGCAUCUUAUUGUUCCAAUCAUCUUCUUUUGCCUGUGUGGCAAGGGAACUUCCUAAGAUUCCCAAUAUGCCACUUAGAGCACACAAUUAACAGCCAGGGUUGGUUGAAGCACUGUGGGGUCUCUUUUCUAUCUGCCGUGCCUCCAGAAUUUACAAUCUAUGCAGGUCUUUACCAUAAUGGAUGCAUGCAGAGCCUUCU